CCCCUUUGACAAUGAAUUUCAUCAAAACCACACAAAAAUAUGUCCCCACUAAAAAAUGUUUCUUUAAACUAGAAGGGAUUUUUUUUUGUUUAUUUUGUCAUAUUUGAUUUUUUGUUGUUUUUGUAAUGAGCAUUAUGAAACAUCAUGAACAUGAUAAUUGUGCAUCCAAGUCAUGUAAAAUGUAGUUGUACUCGACAUGUAUAUAAGUAUGAUGUAAUCUAUACAUGACUAAAAAUCAAGUAUUUUUACGAUUUAUUGCA
rnacentral:lncRNA from 1 species